rnacentral:lncRNA from 1 species
UAUUAGUUUAAGAAGGACUCAAGUUGGGCGAUGCAAUGUCAAUGAUAGCAGCGGUUUUCCUGGGACUCCUUGCUUCGAAUCAGCUGAACCUUCCUUUGUGGUUGCUCGGUCGAAGUACUCAGGACUAUCUGAUUUUAGUCCAAUGGUUGAUUCACUGGGGGACGUGGCCGAUGAAGACACUUGGACAAAACUAAACAAGGGUUUUGUCCCAGACCUUGAUCAACUCCAGUUUACACCUGCAAUUAAAAGGCAACCCACUCCAUUAAUUGCUGCAACCACGGUUAGUAGAUACAAAUACUUGACCCAUGUUAUCUUCCAAUAGUAACAGAGUUGCAAUGAAUAGAGACACGUGGAUGCAUAUGGUCUCUUUAUUCGCUCCCCUUUUCAUAUCAGCAUGCACACAAACACUCUGGUGCAUCAAUACUGGCUGGUAUCUAGCUCAUGUAUACUGAGAAUUACUAAAUUUUGAAACUUCAUAUAGAUGAAUACCGAAUACGCAUACAUUAUCCAAAACACGUUCCUAAGCUGGCCAUAAUUUUUCGUUAACUUUGUUUUAGGAAUGCUCGCGUGAAAAUCAGAAAGUGGUGGAAGAUCUCAAAAGUCAGAUUGAGUUGCUGACCAGUGAAAAGGACAGCCUGCAGGUUAGACAUAUUGGCUUUAUUGGUUGUUCAAGUGAAUAUGCUUUAGCCUUUAGCCAUAAAAUGAAUAUUCUGUUAAAAAUUAAAUGAAUGAUACCAGCUGAUUGUUUAUGCAUCAACUAUGCAUUCUCAGGUAAAAUUCAGCGAACAAGUAGUACUGAACAACAAACUUUUGGGAGAGAUAUCUGAGCUCAAAGAAGGAACGCUUCACAUGAAAGAAAUUCCAAAACUGUUAUCUGAGUCGGUUGCUAAUUGCAAGGAUGUAUACAAGGACGUGAUAGUCACAAUGAAGGUGAACAGCUUACCUUUUCUUAUGUGAAUGAUCAUCACUAAAAGGAAAAUUGAGUUUAAAGUCUUUUGUCUUGCAUUUUGUCAGACCUUAAUGGCUGAGAAAGAAUCUCCGACAGCAAAGCUACUCUUUGGUGUAACUGGAAUCUCAACAAGCCUUCUUUCAACUCUAGAAUCACAAUUCUCAAUGAUAAUGGAUGGUCAGAAAGCGGGUAGCAUCGUAGAUUAUCCUUUAUAUGAUCAAUGGGAAACACUUCGUGUUAGUCUGAAGAACACAGCCACAAGCCUGCUGUUAGACGCACAAGCAAAAGAUGAAAUUCUUAACUCCCACGACAAGGUAGAUUCCUUGUCACAAUCAUCAAGAUACGGAUCAAUUUUGCUUAUUGUUUCUUUCGUUUUGCUUUUAUACUUUUGUCUCUCUUUUUAUACUUUUGUCUCUCUUGUUAGGACUUAGUCCAGUGAAACCUCUGCAUACGUUUCUUAAGGGUUUGGAUCAUAACUUAUAUACUUUCCUGUUUCUUGUACAUUUACAUCUCAUUGGAGCUUCACUUGAAUCUCUAUAUACCAAUGUUUCAAUGGGAAAAGCAGGAACUGAUUCUUGUUUAGUUGAUUAGAUCUUGUGGUCAGAUUACUAUAUCUAAGACAGGUUUUGAAUGUGAAUUUUUAAGGGACAAGAAGCGGGUGCAAUGGAGGAGAAGCUGAAGUCUGAGCUCAGCAUAGUCAAGGAAAGAUAUAACGAGCUGGAGAAAGAGUUGUCUUUGGAUAAACUGCUUCUAAAAGCUUCAAGAGAGAGCCAUGAGAGGCUGGAAAAGGAAGUACAAUUCCUGAAGGAAGAAAGAGAUUCAUUAGAUGUAGCAGUCUCUCAAUCAACUCAGAGGUUGAGAGUGAUUGCAUCUGAUAAAGAGAAUGCUUUGAAAGAUCUUAAUGUGGAAGUGAAGAGAAGGAAAGAGAUGGAGGAAGAGAUUAAGCAAAUCAGCGUCUUUGAUGUGCAGCGUGGAGUGUUUGUUGCUGGUCUUAAGGAAGAGAUUGUUAGUGACGCUGAACAGAUUCUAAAGCUUUUAGACUCUGGAGAAGGUUUUUAAGCCAAAGCUAAGCUAAGAAGUAUUUUGAUUAUGCAUAAUAAUGUGUACUGACAUGGUCUUCUUUAAUUAACAGUUAAUAGGCACUUUGGCGAGACAAACAUGAACGUUCAUAGUAGCAGGUCCCAUACCAUCUUCAGAAUGGUAAGGGUUUUCAAAUCUAUGUACGGAAACUUCUACUGUUUUGUAAGUGAUUAUUUUGAUCUGAUCUCUCUGGUGGGAUAGGUGAUUGAGAGCAGGGGAAAAGAAAACUCUUCUACGGAUGCUAUCCGUGUCUCAGUCUUGGUGAGUGAUAAUUUUACCAUCUUCCAAAAGUUUCUUGUGGAGGCUACAUUUAAAUGAUAAUUCUCUUACUGGUGUUCUUUUAAUGGAAUCUAGAAUUUGGUUGACCUGGCUGGAUCUGAGCGUAUUGCUAAAACCGGUGCUGGUGGAGUGCGCUUGACAGAAGGGAAGUACAUUAAUAAGAGCUUAAUGAUUCUUGGUAAUGUUAUCAAUAAGCUAAGUGAAAGUUCAAAGCUAAGGUACUUUCUUACCCUUUCAUUUAGCUACACGUACCAACGAUACAGCUCAGCUCAUUUCUUACAUUCUUGAUUAUAGAGCACAUAUUCCUUACCGAGACAGUAAGCUAACUAGAAUUCUUCAGCCUGCACUUGGUGGUAAUGCCAAGACUUGCAUUAUAUGCACUAUCGCACCAGAAGAGGUAAAAGAAGUUUUCUUUUUGUCAGGUUUUGCAUUUUCCUGGCUUUUGUUAAUCAUGCACACGAAAGAUUAGUCAAUUAAUGAGUAAUAGUUGAAUGCUCAUGUGUGUAGCAUCAUAUUGAGGAAUCAAAAGGAACUCUCCAAUUUGCAAGCAGAGCCAAACGCAUCACCAACUGUGCUCAAAUUAAUGAGGUCAGCCUGUCAAUGAGCGCAAGAUUCUUGGGAGAGAUUUAACUCACUUUCUUCUUUGUGUCCUGUUGAUUGGUUUUUCUUCUUCUUCUUUAUUGAAUAUCUGACAGUGUUUCAAUGCUUCAGAUCUUGACUGAUGCUGCUUUGUUGAAACGCCAAAAAUUAGAGAUAGAAGAACUAAGGAUGAAGCUUCAGGUAUAGUCAACUUUUAUUUCAAAUACAUCUAGGCAUGGGGACGACACUAACAUUACUAAAUUUUGUAGGGAUCCCAUGCUGAGGUGUUGGAACAAGAGAUAUUAAAGUUAAGCAAUCAGAUGCUUAAGGUAGUUUUUUUUUUGCAUUUUUCUCUUGUGUAUGUAUUCUAUAGAACAUUGAGCAGACACAGUAUACUAAACAUCUACCCUUUUGUUUGAUUUCCAGUAUGAGUUAGAAUGUGAAAGGCUAAAAACACAACUGGAAGAAGAGAGAGGAAAACAGAAGGAGCAGGAGCAAUGCAUCAAGGAGCAACAGUUAAAAAUUGAGAACUUAAACAAUCUUGUCACUAAUUCAGACUUUAAGAAGAACCAGUCAGAGGUACAUAUGCAUUCAUUGGCUCAGAUAGAUUUUCUGAAUAAUGCCUCAACCAUAACACCCAGACAUUUUUUUCUGAGAAACAGGCUUUAAUUUGCAAACUCCUAACUUCUUAUUGAUUGUGUUAGAGAAGUUAAUUAUUGCUUUUAUGCUAAUAUGUUGGACUCAUGUAGUUUGGUUAUGUAAAGCUUUUGUUAAUGUAACAUCUCUAUUGGCAGGACUUUAUUAGUUUAAGAAGGACUCAAGUUGGGCGAUGCAAUGUCAAUGAUAGCAGCGGUUUUCCUGGGACUCCUUGCUUCGAAUCAGCUGAACCUUCCUUUGUGGUUGCUCGGUCGAAGUACUCAGGACUAUCUGAUUUUAGUCCAAUGGUUGAUUCACUGGGGGACGUGGCCGAUGAAGACACUUGGACAAAACUAAACAAGGGUUUUGUCCCAGACCUUGAUCAACUCCAGUUUACACCUGCAAUUAAAAGACAACCCAC